AACGCUGGCGGCGUGCUUAACACAUGCAAGUCGAACGGAAAGGCCCUGCUUUUGUGGGGUGCUCGAGUGGCGAACGGGUGAGUAACACGUGAGUAACCUGCCCUUGACUUUGGGAUAACUUCAGGAAACUGGGGCUAAUACCGGAUAGGAGCUCCUGCUGCAUGGUGGGGGUUGGAAAGUUUCGGCGGUUGGGGAUGGACUCGCGGCUUAUCAGCUUGUUGGUGGGGUAGUGGCUUACCAAGGCUUUGACGGGUAGCCGGCCUGAGAGGGUGACCGGCCACAUUGGGACUGAGAUACGGCCCAGACUCCUACGGGAGGCAGCAGUGGGGAAUAUUGCACAAUGGGCGGAAGCCUGAUGCAGCAACGCCGCGUGCGGGAUGACGGCCUUCGGGUUGUAAACCGCUUUCGCCUGUGACGAAGCGUGAGUGACGGUAAUGGGUAAAGAAGCACCGGCUAACUACGUGCCAGCAGCCGCGGUGAUACGUAGGGUGCGAGCGUUGUCCGGAUUUAUUGGGCGUAAAGGGCUCGCAGGUGGUUGAUCGCGUCGGAAGUGUAAUCUUGGGGCUUAACCCUGAGCGUGCUUUCGAUACGGGUUGACUUGAGGAAGGUAGGGGAGAAUGGAAUUCCUGGUGGAGCGGUGGAAUGCGCAGAUAUCAGGAGGAACACCAGUGGCGAAGGCGGUUCUCUGGGCCUUUCCUGACGCUGAGGAGCGAAAGCGUGGGGAGCGAACAGGCUUAGAUACCCUGGUAGUCCACGCUGUAAACGGUGGGUACUAGGUGUGGGGUCCAUUCCACGGGUUCCGUGCCGUAGCUAACGCUUUAAGUACCCCGCCUGGGGAGUACGGCCGCAAGGCUAAAACUCAAAGGAAUUGACGGGGCCCCGCACAAGCGGCGGAGCAUGCGGAUUAAUUCGAUGCAACGCGUAGAACCUUACCUGGGUUUGACAUGGAUCGGGAGUGCUCAGAGAUGGGUGUGCCUCUUUUGGGGUCGGUUCACAGGUGGUGCAUGGCUGUCGUCAGCUCGUGUCGUGAGAUGUUGGGUUAAGUCCCGCAACGAGCGCAACCCUUGUUCACUGUUGCCAGCACGUUAUGGUGGGGACUCAGUGGAGACCGCCGGGGUCAACUCGGAGGAAGGUGGGGAUGACGUCAAGUCAUCAUGCCCCUUAUGUCCAGGGCUUCACGCAUGCUACAAUGGCUGGUACAGAGAGUGGCGAGCCUGUGAGGGUGAGCGAAUCUCGGAAAGCCGGUCUCAGUUCGGAUUGGGGUCUGCAACUCGACCUCAUGAAGUCGGAGUCGCUAGUAAUCGCAGAUCAGCAACGCUGCGGUGAAUACGUUCCCGGGGCUUGUACACACCGCCCGUCAAGUCAUGAAAGUUGGUAACACCCGAAGCCGGUGGCCUAACCGUUGUGGGGGAGCCGUCGAAGGUGGGACUGGUGAU
rnacentral:rRNA from 1 species